rnacentral:rRNA from 1 species
AUUGAACGCUGGCUGCAGGCUUAACACAUGCAAGUCGAACGAUUGGCGGAAGGGUGAUUAAUGUCUGGGAAACUGCCUGAUGGAGGGUGAUAACUACUGGAAACGGUAGCUAAUACCGCAUACCAUCAGAUGUGCCCAGAUGGGAUUAGCUAGUAGGUGGGGUAAUGGCUCACCUAGUCGACGAUCCCUAGCUGGUCUGAGCGGAUGACCAGACACAUUGGAACGGAGACACGGUCCAGAAUCCUACGGUAGGCAGCAGUAGGGAAUAUUGCACAAUGGGCGCAAGCAUGAUGCAGCCAUGCCGCGUGUGUGAAGAAGGCCUUCGGGUUGUAAAGCACUUUCAGAGAGGAGGCGUUACUCGCAGAAGAAGCACCGGCUAACUCCGUGCCAGCAGCCGCGGUAAUUC